AGCUUCAUUCUGGAUUAGAAUGGGCACUGUUGAUUGGUGUCAAAAAUUGGUCCAUGUGGCUGAAAUUGAGACACAGGUCAUUCUUUCAUCACAAUAAAUGUUUGCAGUGGUGACAGUGAGACCUGUAACAUUU
ensembl:snoRNA small nucleolar RNA SNORA1